UUGUUUUUUUACGCGUGUUGUUUUAAACUAUUUCUGUAUAUUUCAUAAACAGAAAUAGUUUAAAACAACACGCGUAAAAAAACAA